UCGGGAAUUUUGGGCAAUGGGCGAAAGCCUGACCCAGCAACGCCGCGUGAAGGAUGAAGUAUUUCGGUAUGUAAACUUCGAAAGAAUAGGAAGAAUAAAUGACGGUACUAUUUAUAAGGUCCGGCUAACUACGUGCCAGCAGCCGCGGUAAUACGUAGGGACCAAGCGUUGUUCGGAUUUACUGGGCGUAAAGGGCGCGUAGGCGGUGUGUCAAGUCAGUUGUGAAAUCUCCGAGCUUAACUCGGAACGGUCAACUGAUACUGUCACACUAGAGUACAGAAGGGGCAAUCGGAAUUCUUGGUGUAGUGGUGAAAUGCGUAGAUAUCGGGAGGAACACCAGUGGCGAAGGCGACUUCCUGGCCUGUUCUUGACGCUGAGGCGCGAAAGCUAGGGGAGCAAACGGGAUUAGAUACCCCGGUAGUCCCUGAGCGGGCUGGCAAGGCGCAU
rnacentral:rRNA from 1 species